GAUGAACGCUGGCGGCGUGCCUAAUACAUGCAAGUCGAGCGAACGGACGAGAAGCUUGCUUCUCUGAUGUUAGCGGCGGACGGGUGAGUAACACGUGGAUAACCUACCUAUAAGACUGGGAUAACUUCGGGAAACCGUAGCUAAUACCGGAUAAUAUUUUGAACCGCAUGGUUCAAAAGUGAAAGACGGUCUUGCUGUCACUUAUAGAUGGAUCCGCGCUGCAUUAGCUAGUUGGUAAGGUAACGGCUUACCAAGGCAACGAUGCAUAGCCGACCUGAGAGGGUGAUCGGCCAAACUGGAACUGAGACACGGUCCAGACUCCUACGGGAGGCAGCAGUAGGGAAUCUUCCGCAAUGGGCGAAAGCCUGACGGAGCAACGCCGCGUGAGUGAUGAAGGUCUUCGGAUCGUAAAACUCUGUUAUUAGGGAAGAACAUAUGUGUAAGUAACUGUGCACAUCUUGACGGUACCUAAUCAGAAAGCCACGGCUAACUACGUG
rnacentral:rRNA from 1 species